rnacentral:misc_RNA from 1 species
GGAAGGAUCAUUCACACAACCUGUAUACAGGUCGCCUAGUGAUAGUAACAACUUAACUUCGGUUGAUGCUGUUUUGCGGAAGAGAUGGAGUUAACGCUUCACGCUUGGAUGCACAUACUACUCGCUUUCUAAAAGCGGAUAGGCAAAAAACUAACAACACCCUUAACGAUGGAUACCUCAGCUCGUGAAGCGAUGAAGGACGCAGCAAAGUGCGAUAAGCACUGUGAAUUGCAGAUUUCCGCGAACCAGUAGAUAUCUGAACGCAUUAUGCGCGAUAGGAGUUUACUCCUCUCGCGGGUAUGUGUCAGCGUCAUUGAUGAUCCCUAUCCAAUUUAGGUAAACUAACGUUGGAUAGAGUUUUCGAGCUUUACUGUCAAGUAGAGUUCGACAAUUCAUAUGAUACCAAAAUAGGUACAUAUGCAGUAUCCAGCAAAAUCAAUAGAAAUUUGCUAUCUUACGUAUGGUUUGCAUUGUGUUAAUAGCAGUCUUCCUGUAUGAUAUUAGGAGUUUUUUCUACUAAAGUCGGCCGGGAAGGUUCUACUACCAAUUGCUAAAGCAUACAACAUUCAUGACCUGAUUCAUUCCAGACAACCCGCUGAAUUUAAGCAUAUAAGUAAGCGGAGGAAAAGAAACUAACUAACUAGGAUUCCCUUAGUAACGGCGAGUGAACAGGGAAAAGCUCAAUGCCCAAUCCUGCAAAGGAAAUGUGGUUUUGGUAAGCUACCAGCGAAAUUUUCGGUGAAAGUCUCCUGGAACGGAGCGCCAAGGAGGGUGACAGCCCCGUCCAUCACUGAAAUCAUUUCGUGUACGGUACUUGCUGAAGGAGUCGCGUACUUUGGGAUAAGUGCGCUAAAGGGUGGUAAGUUCCAUCCAAAGCUAAAUAUGACCACGAGACUGAUAGCGAACAAGUACCGUGAGGGAAAGGUGAAAAGAACUUUGAAAAGAGAGUUAAAAGUGCUUGAAAUCGUUAAGGGGGAAGCGAAUAUCGCGUUUGGAUAUGCUCUCGUAAGUGUUGCACACUGAAUCCACCCAUGUUAGCCGCGUCAGGGCAACCGAAAGCGGCCGGCCAAAGGUUGUAUUUAAUGUGUUUUUGCUUGCUUGAGAUGGCAGCACAGUUCUAAUUGCUAGUUGGCAAAAUCUUUGCGUUGCGACAAGGCUACGGCUUUCGACGUAUGCAUCGACUAUCCUAGUAGUGGGACUUUAAACAGGCUUCUCUAACGGGUUCGGAAUUCUGCACAGCAAUUCGAUUCCAUUUGGUUUCGUAAGGUUAGGCAGGGAGCCGAUGCCUUAAUUGAGGUCUGAGUGCUGCAAUCAACUGUGAUAUUUGUCCCGUCUUGAAACACGGACCAAGGAGUCUAACGUAUAUGCGAGUGUGUGGAUAGUAAAUCCAUGCGCGCAAUGAAAGUGAUCAUAGCGAGUAUGUUAUGCAUAUGCAGCUGUGGCCGACCUAGAUCUUCGGUGACAGGUUUGAGUAUGAGCAUGUCCGUUAGGACCCGAAAGAUGGUGAACUAUGCCAGAGUAGGGUGAAGCCAGGGGAAACUCUGGUGGAGGCUCGUAGCGAUACUGACGUGCAAAUCGUUCGUCAAACUUUGGUAUAGGGGCGAAAGACUAAUCGAACCAUCUAGUAGCUGGUUCCCUC